AUAUAAACAAAGAAUGCAGACACCAAUGCCAAUCGAUUUUGUCAUAGAUAAUUUUACCACCAUAUACAUCUGAGUUUGAUGCACAGAGCAGCGUAGAGAGCACCGCUGCACUGCAUACUUUCAGCUUGGUCUGGGUGGUGCUGCAUCUUCUAUUCCAAACAUUUGCGUAUAGAUGUAACGUAAGGCUUUCCAGGCGCUGGGUGAUUGAGGACUGAUCGUAAGACCAAAGUUUAUGGAGGCGUUGGAAAACUUAGGCAUGCAGGCGUUGAUUAUCGACUUCUGAGAAAGCGUUAUGGGCGAGAAAAUCCUUUAAGCUAACAGCGCAGACCCUGGUGAGACGCCGCAUCAGGUUUGUUCGAAGAACGCGCCUAUAAAUACGGAUACUUCUCGUGUGGCCGGUUGACUCGUAUGUUUUAAUUUUACUUCCAUUCUUCUUUUGGUUUUCUGUUUUGUAUCUAUAGGUUUAUGACCAGCAAUAUGUAAUAAUGUAAAAUAAGCCGCGUAAACUCCGCGUAACAUCCCGUACUGCAUGUGAUGCAGCUAAGAACUGCACAGAAAAAAAGACAUUCGCUAUCCUUAAUCUCAUUCAUUGAACUAUCAACGCCGUAUAUCUUUUUUUAAAGAUAUUUCUUGUUGUAUUUAAAGAUGGACGACAGAUAACCGAAGACGAGAACUUAUUUUGGCCUUGCCAAUAUAAAUAAUGCAU